rnacentral:rRNA from 1 species
AUUGAACGCUGGCGGCAUGCCUUACACAUGCAAGUCGAACGGCAGCGGGGGAGAAGCUUGCUUUUCCUGCCGGCGAGUGGCGAACGGGUGAGUAAUACAUCGGAACGUGCCCUGUAGUGGGGGAUAACUAGUCGAAAGAUUAGCUAAUACCGCAUACGACCUGAGGGUGAAAGUGGGGGACCGCAAGGCCUCAUGCUAUAGGAGCGGCCGAUGUCUGAUUAGCUAGUUGGUGGGGUAAAGGCCUACCAAGGCGACGAUCAGUAGCUGGUCUGAGAGGACGAUCAGCCACACUGGGACUUAGACACGGCACCGACUCCUACGGGAGGCAGCAGUGGGGAAUUUUGGACAAUGGGCGAAAACCUGAUCCAGCAAUGCCGCGUGUGUGAAGAAGGCCUUCGGGUUGUAAAGCACUUUUGUCCGGAAAGAAAUGGCUCUGGUUAAUACCUGGGUUCGAUGACGGUACCGGAAUAAUAAGGACCGGCUAACUACGUGCCAGCAGCCGCCGUAA